GCACUGGUGGUUCAGUAGUAGAAUUCUCGCCUUCCAAGCGAGAGACCAGGGUUAGAUUCCCUGCCAAUGCA